AUGAGCCAAUCAAUGACCGAGUCGAUGUUUGUUGAGAGUUUAGUACUGUAUAUAAAGGAUCAGGCUUGAGCUGAGAGUGUGCCAAUCUUUUUGGUAGAAUUCAAUGAUUUUAUCAUUGAACACAAACGGAAUGCAAAAUCGGUCUACUUUCUAAUAUUAAUAACUUUCGAGUGGUAAGAUCUGUCCCAUGAUGCCUAAUUUAAUAUAUGCAUAUUAGCUAAGAAAAUAGCAUAUUUCCAUAUUUGAGGCCUAAAUCUUGAUAUUAAUGAAAUGGUAGGUUCAUCAGAUUGCAAAGCAUUUAAGACUACAGGGUGUGGAGGGGCUUGGGUUGGGGGCAUUGCUCGACACGUGGCGAGGGUGGGAUCCACAAGCUAAUACUCAAAAACUA
rnacentral:lncRNA from 1 species